rnacentral:lncRNA from 10 species
CAUGGAUUCCUGCAUUGGUAAUCUGUCAGCAACCACUCACAUUGAGAUACCUGUGUGUCCUCACUCCUCACAGGAGGACCGUGCAAAGGCAAAUUGCUAGGCAGGUAGACCUCACAGAUUCUCUCAGCCGGGCAGUCGGUGAGUCUGUCCAAAGCAUUUGAAUCUGAAGAUAAAAUGUUAAGAAGAAAAUCCUAGAAAAACAUGUCACAUAUAUUCUACCCACCGAACCAAACAAAAACAAAAAAGAAACACUUAAUUUUUAAUAAUGGGCGCAAGAAGUACUCAAAGUAAUAAAUAAUAAUAAUAAUAAAAGUUACUUCUUAGCCUGACUGUCCUGGACGAGAAUUCCGUCCCCACUUGCAGGUCGGGCACUGAGUGCCUGGACAGAGAGUUAGGUCCCCCGCUUACCCCGCCCUAAGGCUGCGGAAGGCGGCGCCAUCGGUCGCCAUGGAAAUCGCGGCGGAUGGGCGGAUCCUGGGCAGGUUGGCUGGGUCGGGCUGCCCGGGCGACGCCGGAGUUGCAGUUGGAGGCUGCGGGAAUACAAAGUGACACUGACUGCCGGGUAACUGUCUCUCAGGACAUUUGUGCUUUGAGUCUCUGCAACUCUGGACCAUCUCUGCAGGCUAAAAGAUGUGCCUGUUGCUAAGAGGAGGAGCCCUGCAGCAGGAAUCCGGUGCCAGCUGACCUGGAACAACCUGAUCUCCAGAAAGCAUCCCUGUUAUACUCAAAUGGGCCUUCCAGAUGAGCCCUGUAAGGAUAUGCAUGAUAGCAAAAGCUCAGGACAGCCUUUUUAUGUUACUGUUGUUCUUAACUUUUGACUUACUCCCUUUAGGGAUCCAGCCUUUACUGUUGUUCUUAACUUUUGACUUAUUCUCUUUAGGGAUCCAGCCUUUCUUUGACUAUGAACCUAAACGUAAGAAAGAGAAGUUUCUUGACUCCCUAAAAACGAGUCAUAAUGCUUUCUGAAACUGAGUCUCUUCUGCUUCUGGAAACUGAGUCUUAGUGCAAAGAAAUCCCUCUGUAUUUUCUUGAUUUCCAUCUUGAUUCUCUAUUUUAAAGAUAAAAUAGCUGUUGCUUUGUGUCUGUGUAGAGUGUGGCAAAAAGAGAGGAAACAGAAAAAGAUAAAAGGACCAUCUCUCUCACUUUUAAAAUCUCUUUUCCUUAAGGUAUCCUUGAAUAUCUCUCUUCAUUAUGCCCUAAAACAUUUUCCCUGCAAUUGAUGCUAUCCAGCCAGUGUUUUUUUAGUAGCACCUAUAAUUCAAAUGCAUAUAAUCCAGAAUCCAGCCCUAACUUCACACCUGAGUUUCUAGACCAACUAAACAUCCCACAGGUACUUCAGGCUCACUAGAUCCAAGUCUAACUCAUUAUCUUUGUACCAAAACAGUAUUUUUUAAUUAAAAUUUUAAAAAAAAUAAUUAUAAAUAAAAAACACUGGCUCUAUUGGAACUGAGCCUGGCUAAUGACAUUGUCUUUUCCCACUCACCCAAACUAGGCAUUUAAAAAUCAAACUUGACUCCCCCACUCUGACUCUAUGCCAAUUCUAUCAGUCGCUGAGUCACUGUUUGACCCUACUCCAAGCUUUCCAAUCUUCUCAGGAACCAUGCUGAUAUCAAGACUGUGUCCUGUGGAAUAUCUAAUAUAUGUGACACCCGGAGGAGUCAUUUUUUAACACCUCCCUUCUCUAUACAACAAAAUUAUUUUCAAUAAUGGCCAUGAGUAUGAUGAUAAUUAUGUCUUUAUAAUACGUGUAAUUGACAAUAUCAUACAUAAUUAUGGAUUAUAUAUAUACACAAAUAAUGCUCAGAAAAACAAAGCAGUGAAAAUGUUCUAUUAAACUAUGUAUAAUCUUAUAUAUAAUUAUAUAAGUUUCUAAAAUAAAAGGAAAUGCCUACAACUAUUUUUUAUUAAUUUUUAUAUCCACCUAAAUGGCUGAACUUUGAUCCUUUGGUUACAGUCUGAUAUAUUAAUAUUUACGUAAAUGACAGUCCAAUAACUAGGUUUAAAUAAAACUAAAAUGUCUGCAGAAGUAUAGUUUAGGCAAUUACAUUUUAAAUUUUUUUAAAUGAGAUGGACUCUUGCUAUGAUGCGCAGGCUGAUCUCAAACUCCUGAGCUCAAGCCAUGCUCCCACCUCGGCCUCCAAAAGUGCUGGGAUUACAGGCAUGAGCCACUGCGCCCGACCUAAUUUAGGCAAUUACUAAUGUGAGAUUUUGUUUUCUUAUUUGUUCUUUUGUUUGAAGACAAAUAAUUAACAAUUAAAAAGAAUACAUUGCAAUUUUAAAAUGUUAUCAUAUUCAGAAAAUAUGUAUGAAAUAAAAUUUGCACUUAUAAAACAAAAAUAUUACACUUCAUAGUUGGCAAACAUUUUAAAUUUUAAAUUAAAAAAUUUUUAAAUUGUGAUUGAGUCACACUGAAUGGUGAAAUUAAAUGAAUUCAAAUCCUGUUUCUUCAUCUUUGCAAUCACUGUGCUAUCAUUGUUUCUUUCUAAUCUACAUAGAAAUAGGUCUCACCACAGGGGUUGAAGAUUCAACUGCACCCAAAGCAAGAUCCAGUGUUUCCAAACUGUUAGGAGCUCUUGAAAUGGAUGUGGGUAACCAAGGCUAUUGUGCCAAGGGUUCUGAGAAUCAACUUCCACAUCGAACAUUUAUCAAAAG